AAUGAAGGCCAAAUUUUCUGGGUCCGCAGAUAGACUGGAUUCAGUGUCUAGUGCUCGUAGACGUGCAGAGAAGCUUAGAACAUACCAUGCUCGUUCUGGCAUCAAGAGGGAGCAGCAUCUGGUGGAUUCCCUUCAGAGUGAGGAGGAUGAAGAUCCUUCUGACAUUCUGGAAAAGAAAUAUUAUAAACAAGAUAGAUCAUCAGGUGAGGUGGCUUUAGUUGAUGGCGCUUCUAGAAGUUCCCUAAACAAGAAGCUGGUGCUAAACAGAAAUUUGUCUUCAUCCACCCCUCGUACAACAGCAGCACCAGCUCCACGGUCAUCAGUGAAAAUUUCCAACCAAAGUUCUGGGAGGCGGAGAAUUCAAUCAGAAAAUCCUCUAGCACUCUCAGUUCCAAAUUUUUCUGAUUUUAGAAAAGAGAACACAAAGCCGUCUUCUGGAUUCUGCAAAACAGCAAAUCGCACACAGGUGAGAAGCUAUCCCCACAGCAAGAGUACAACUGAAGAGACACCUCUUGCGAAGGAAGAAAAACCUCGACGGUCUCAGUCCUUGAGGAAAAGCUCUGCUAGUCCUGCCGAAGUCAAGGAUUUGCCUACUUUGAAUUCUGAUGAUGUAGUUUUGGCACCAUUGAAGUUUGAUAAAGAGCAAACUGAGCAGGGACCAUAUGAAAAAUUUUCAAAGAAUGUGGAGUCAAAGCCUUUCCUUAAGAAGGGUAAUGGCAUAGGUCCUGGUGCUGAAACUAAUAUUGCCAAACUGAAAGGUUCAGUGGCAAAUGAGGCUUUGGAAAAUGAAGAAGC
rnacentral:misc_RNA from 1 species